rnacentral:rRNA from 1 species
GAUGAACGCUGGCGGCGUGCCUAAUACAUGCAAGUCGAGCGAACGGACGAGAAGCUUGCUUCUCUGAUGUUAGCGGCGGACGGGUGAGUAACACGUGGAUAACCUACCUAUAAGACUGGGAUAACUUCGGGAAACCGGAGCUAAUACCGGAUAAUAUUUUGAACCGCAUGGUUCAAAAGUGAAAGACGGUUUUGCUGUCACUUAUAGAUGGAUCCGCGCUGCAUUAGCUAGUUGGUAAGGUAACGGCUUACCAAGGCAACGAUGCGUAGCCGACCUGAGAGGAUGAUCGGCCACACUGGAACUGAGACACGGUCCAGACUCCUACGGGAGGCAGCAGUAGGGAAUCUUCCGCAAUGGGCGAAAGCCUGACGGAGCAACGCCGCGUGAGUGAUGAAGGUCUUCGGAUCGUAAAACUCUGUUAUUAGGGAAGAACAUAUGUGUAAGUAACUGUGCACAUCUUGACGGUACCUAAUCAGAAAGCCACGGCUAACUACAUG